CCUACGGGUGGCAGCAGUGGGGAAUAUUGCACAAUGGGGGAAACCCUGAUGCAGCGACGCCGCGUGAGUGAAGAAGUAAUUCGUUAUGUAAAGCCCUAUCAGCAGGGAAGAAAAUGACGGUACCUGAGUAAGAAGCCCCGGCUAACUACGUGCCAGCAGCCGCGGUUAUACGUCGGGGGCAAGCGUUAUCCGGAUUUACUGGGGGUAAAGGGAGCGUUGACGGCAGUGCAAGUCUGGAGUGAAAGGCGGGGGCUCAACCCCCGGACUGCUCUGGAAACUGUACGGCUGGAGUGCGGGAGAGGUAAGUGGAAUUCGUAGUGUAGCGGUGAAAUGCGUAGAUAUUAGGCGGAACACCGGUGGCGAAGGCAGCUUACUGGACUGUAACUGACGUUGAGGCUCGAAAGCGUGGGGAGCGAACAGGAUUAGAUACCCCUGUAGUC
rnacentral:rRNA from 1 species